UUUGCAACCAUCUCCCAAGCACUUAUAUCAUCAGUUGACCGUGAUUGCUUAAGUGGUUGGGGAGGACAUGUCUACAUUGUCACACCGACUGAAGUGACCGAAAGAAUCUUGAAAGGGAGAAUGGAUUGAUCUACAAAAAAGUUAUUGUACUUUGGUGUCCGGUAGCUUGUUAUUUCCGAAGGUGUUUUGGUGCUUUUGACUUGGAAACUUUUAUGGUAUUGUUCUGUAACAGUCGGUCUUCAACGGAUGUUUUAUCUAAA